GGCGCGUGCGGGGCCCGGCUUGGCGCUGCCUGAUGCUGCCGUUGCGGAGCGAGCUGGGCCCGGCGCCCGCGGGGGCUGUUGGGGUCCGGCCGCCCAGCCGGCCCCGGGCGGAGCUCAGCCGCGGCAGCGCGCGUUCCGCCGCCUCCUGCGGCGCGACUGUCCCCAUGCCUGUGUGUGAGCACUCUGUGCACCGGGAAAGAGAUGCUAGUAACAGAACCAACACACCAGAUGAUUUGGAGGGGAAUGAGAGUGAGGAGAAGGCUGAUGAAGAUAGCGAGAGGGAGGAAGAGUGGGAUACUGACCUUGAAAUAGAAGAAACCAAGGAAUCUUUUGACCCAACUGGAAAGACCAGAUACAUAGCAGCCUGCCAACUAUAUGGAGUGGUACCCAUAUCCUAUUUCCUGCGUCACAUGAAGGACUCUGAGCUGAUUAUGAAGCACCAUGGACUUGGCCCCCAGGGUGCCAAAGCUUUAUCUCUUUCCUUGAUGACCAACACCUCCAUCGUAAAGUUAAACCUGAGUGAUAAUUGGCUGAAUGGAGACGGGGCAGCUGCAGUUGCAGAGAUGUUAAAAGAAAACUGUUACAUUUCAGAUGUUGAUUUAUCUGACAACAGACUUGGAGUUAAAGGAGCUGCGGCCCUUUCUGCUAUGCUUCUGGAGAAUACGACAGUUGUUACCCUUAAACUUUCAGGAAAUGAGUUUAAUGACCAUGCAGCUAAGUACCUAGCCGAUGCCCUCCCGGCUAACAAUAAAAUGGAAUCUCUGGAUCUGAGUCACAACAUGCUUGGUGACACAUCAGGUGAGCUUCUUGGAAUGGCAAUAGCAGAAAACACUGGACUAAAGGAGCUUAAUAUCAGCUGGAACUACUUCCGCAGCCAAGGAGCAGCUGCCUUAGCCAGAGGCUUCGAGGCAAACGUAUUCCUCAGAGUUCUGGACCUUUCCUACAAUGGCUUCAGUAACAACGGAGCAGCUGCCCUGGGGGAGGCUCUUAAAGUCAACAAUGUGCUGGAAGAGCUCAACAUUAGCAAUAACCGCAUUUCAGUGGAAGGAGCUCUGCGCUUUGCAGUAGGCCUGAAAGAAAACCGGACUCUGAAGAGCCUUAAUAUGGCCAGAAAUCCCAUGCAGAGUGAAGGCUGCUUUGGGAUUCUCAAAUCGAUACAAGCAAAUUCCGGGGCCGUGGUAGAAAUCCUGGACUUCUCAGAGAUCCUUGUGAACCAAGACUUUGCAGACCUGUGUGAUGCUGUGAAAAUGCUUUUCCCAAAUCUUCAGAUCAGACAUGGUGGAAAUGCAACAUUGCACAAAAAAGACCAACCGAAGGUUGAGAUCCAAUCUUGGUUCAGUGUGGAGGGUGAUUCAUAGAAUCCCUUGGCCUAAAAGGAACCACUUCAAGGUCACUUUGGGUAGGUCUGCACAGCCUGGGAGGCUCUUCCACAGGCUGCCUGGGUAGACAUACUCUUAGUCUAUGCCCCUGCACUGUGGCAAAGUCCUAAUAUCACUGACCAUCUCCAAGCCUUGACGUGAGGCUACAAGUGCCUCCCAUGGAAACAUUUGCCAUUCACUCAGUGAUGUCAUUGUUAAAAGCUUCUCCUUGCUGUAGCUUGAAAUUAAUUGGACUAGAUUCGCUGCUGUGACCUGGUGCUGGAUCUCACCAGCAGGGCGUUCUCCUGGUGCAGGACAGUCCCCAGUGGGUACAGAGCCGGCAUAAUUAGCUCCUUACUCUACCUUUCUCCCUCAGCCUUCUGCACAGGGCCUUUGUCAGGGCAGGCGGGAGCUUGCCUGGAAUACUCUGUGCCCAGCUACACCUUCUGCUUGGGGCCGUAGCCUGUUGCCAUAGACUAGGGCAACCUGAAGAGUGCAUUAAUCUAGGCUGGGGCCGUGACUAACAUAGAACCAGACCCCAAUUCAGGGAGCCGCAGUCAACUACUUUUCAUUGAUUGUAAAGCCAAUAGGAACCAUUGUGAUAAUCCAGUCUGACCUCCUGCAUAACACAGGCCAUAGUAUUUCACUCUGUGAUUCUUGCAUUCAGCUCAUAUCUUCUGCUUGAGCAAGAGCAGAUCUCUUAGAAAGAGCCUCCAGUUUUAAGGCUUUGAGAAUCCACCACACCAUAGGUAAGUUGUUCCAGUAGCUAAUAGCCCUCACACCUUAUUUGGAGAAAACGAAUGGUGUAGCGUAUGGAAUAGGACAGUAUCCCUUUAAAUAGUUUGGGGGCCCUCUAGUGUACUCCAUGUUCUGUGUUUUGGUUUCUGGCAGCUUCUAAUCAGAGAAGCAAUAUAGGUAGCUAGACGUGGAAUGUGUGUGUAUAUUCAGUAAACAGGGUUAUUUGGGACUCAACUGUGUUUGUGCAGAUUCUUCAUAUUUUAUUUGUUUUGUAAAGACCCAACAGAUAGCAUAGUGAGCAGGGCACUAGACUGGGACUCAGGAGACCUGGCUUCAGUUUCCAGCUGAGGAAGAGAUUUCUUGUGUGAUGUUGAGGAAAUCGCUUAGGCCUUGUCUACAUGAGAAAGUUCCACCAAUUUAACUUAAACUGGUUUUUAAACCAAGUUAACUAAAUUGGUGCAAACCCCUGUGUGGACACACUUGUUUUGGUUUAGGUUUUGCUUAAGUUAAACCUGUCCCUAACUGAUUUAAGAUGAACCAAAAUAAACCUGAUUUAUACCAAAAUAAGUGUCCACAAAACCUUUUUACACCAGCUUAACUAACCUGGUUACACUUGCUUAUGGCAAGAUUUUAACUUUCCCAUGUAAACGUAUCCUUACUCUACACUGUGCCUCGGUUCCUCAUCUCUGAAAAAGGGAUGGGAUACCCUCACAGGAGGGUAGGGGCUUCUGAAGAUGAACUUCAUUAAUGAGCGUGAGGUGCUCAGACACUGUCAGAGGGGGGUAUAUAAAUACCUAGGUAAGUAGAUUAUUUACCCAGCUUCAGAUCCCAGCCUUUGGAUCUCAUUCUUCCUUUUUCUCAGAGAUAAGAGAGCUCUGCUAUCAGAAAUCUUCUCCCUCUGUAGGUCCUUGUAGGCUGUGAUCAUCCCCUCUUAACCUUUCUUUGAAUUAACUAAAUAGAGCUUAUUUAGUCUCUCGCUAUAAGGUAGGUUUUUCCAAAUCUUAGAUCAUUCUUGCAACUCUUUUCUGAGCUCUCCCAAAUUUAUCAACAUCAUUUUUAAAGGGUGGACACCAGAACUGGAUACAGUAUCCAGUAGUAGCCUCACCAGUGCCAUGAACAAGCCACCACCUCUCUCCUAUUCAAUAUUCUCCGGUUUAUACAUCCAAGGAGUCAGUGCCUUCACUGUCUUAGCCACCACAUCACACUGGGAGCUCGUGUUCAGUUGGUUUCUGCCAUGAUUCCUUAAGUCCUUUCCCCAGUCACUGCUUUUCAGGGUACAGUCCCCAUCCUGUAAUCUAUGUUUUUGGUUCCUAGAUCCAUUGCACCUUGCAUUUGGCUGUAUUAAAAUUGUAGCACCAGGAGGUAUCAAAAUGCCUAGAAAUCAUAAAACAGCACAGGCACCCAACCUUAACUCUUCCCUCAGUUUGAUAACAAUAGCAACUGGGAACGUAACAGUACCUUACCCCUCCCUGACCAUUCCUCUGUGCCCAUCACAGCUUCACAUCAGCAUAAAGUUCUAUGGACCCUUAUGGUGCUUUGUGUAGAACCAUUGCUUCAUUGUCCAGUUUUUCUAACAAUCCCACAAGAAUUGGCGUCAGGGCGAGCCCAGCUGUACAAUAGCAACCUGAAUGUCACCGUAACAAAGUUUGGGCUGAGUGUGAAUAAAUGGUCUUUUUCUAUUCUGUAGGUUUCCCAGGCAUUUUCGUAACCCUACAUGUGCUCAGUGGAAUCAAAGGUCUUUCCUUUUAUUUGUGACUGGAACUGGAUGAGCCUUGGACACCCCAAAAUAUGUGACCCUUUGAUUAGUCCUUCUUUCGAUCUAUCUUGCAUUGAAUGGUGGGGACAGUUACCAUCUAUAAAUUGCCCCUCCCAGGCCCCAAACAAUGAAAUUUUCUCCAAGAGGCACCUUGUUGAAUGUGCCAAAGUAUGAAACUGCCCCUACCAUUGUCCUGGUAAAAUAGGUUCCUGAUAUUCUGGAUUUUGUUGAAGCUUCACUAUUGGUACAGAAUGAAUGUGUUUGUCCUGUUCAGUGUUGUGGGGAAAUCUGGUUGUAUCAUCUGUGCUGGGGGGAUAGCUCAGUGGUUUGAGCAUUGGCCUGCUAAACCCAGGGUUGUGAGCUCAAUCGUUGAGGGGGCCAUUUAGAGAACUGGGGAAAAAAUCUGUCUGUGGAUUGGCCCUGCUUUGAGCAGGGGGUUGGACUAGAUGACCUUCUAAGGUCCCUUCCAACCCUGAGAUUCUAUGAAUGAAAUUUUGUUUACUAUCACUUUUCAGCAAAUAAUGAUAUUUUUAAAUAAGCGAUAUAACUUCUUGAUAAAAUAAUGUGGAGCUAAAUGAAAUUUGUCCUGUAAUUGUGAGAAUGGUUUCAAAUUUUUAUAUCUAAUAAAUAUUUA